GACGAACGCUGGCGGCGUGCCUAAUACAUGCCAGUAGAACGCUGAAGGAGGAGCUUGCUCUUCUGGAUGAGUUGCGAACGGGUGAGUAACGCGUAGGUAACCUGCCUGGUAGCGGGGGAUAACUAUUGGAAACGAUAGCUAAUACCGCAUAAGAGUAGAUGUUGCAUGACAUUUGCUUAAAAGGUGCAAUUGCAUCACUACCAGAUGGACCUGCGUUGUAUUAGCUAGUUGGUGGGGUAACGGCUCACCAAGGCGACGAUACAUAGCCGACCUGAGAGGGGGAUCGGCCACCCUGGGACUGGGACACGGCCCAGACUCCUACGGGAGGCAGCAGUAGGGAAUCUUCGGCAAUGGACGGAAGUCUGACCGAGCAACGCCGCGUGAGUGAAGAAGGUUUUCGGAUCGUAAAGCUCUGUUGUAAGAGAAGAACGAGUGUGAGAGUGGAAAGUUCACACUGUGACGGUAUCUUACCAGAAAGGGACGGCUAACUACGUG
rnacentral:rRNA from 1 species